CCUACGGGAAGGCAGCAGUGGGGAAUAUUGGGCAAUGGAGGAAACUCUGACCCAGCGACGCCGCGUGCGGGAUGAAGGCCUUCGGGUUGUAAACCGCUUUCAGCAGGGAAUAAGCGCAAGUGAAGGUACCUGCAGAAGAAGCACCGGCUAACUAUGUGCCAGCAGCCGCGGUAAUACAUAGGGUGCAAGCGUUGUCCGGAAUUAUUGGGCGUAAAGAGCUCGUAAGGUGGUUUGUUACGUCGGAUGUGAAAAUCAGGGGCUCAACCCCUGACCUGCAUUCGAUACGGGCAAGCUGGAGUUUGGUAGGGGAGACUGGAAUUCCUGGUGUAGCGGUGGAAUGCGCAGAUAUCAGGAGGAACACCGAUGGCGAAGGCAGGUCUCUGGGCCAAUACUGACACUGAGGAGCGAAAGCGUGGGGAGCGAACAGGAUUAGAUACCCUGGUAGUCCACGCCGUAAACGGUGGGCACUAGUUGUGCGAACCUUCCACGGUUUGUGCGACGCAGCUACGCAUAGUGCCCGCCGCGGGAGGUACGAGUCGCGAGAAGUUAAAACGUUAAACGGUAAAGUUAGUACGGCGUGAGACGUCGCCGACGGACGACCGACGAGGGAGGUUAGG
rnacentral:rRNA from 1 species